CCUGAGUUGGUUAAACACCUUUACUGUGGCCAGCCUACUUUCUAAAGGGAGAAAAUCCAGAGCUUUGCUGUCUUGGUCCCCAAAAGCAGGACCAAGUAUUUUCUGACCAAAGAGAUAUUCUGACUGUCACAUCCCUAACUGUGUUUGACUCAUUAUUCUGUCUACUACUUCCCAUGUAAUCUUGGAGGAUAAUACUCUUAUGAUAACCAAAGGAGGCCUGGAGAUAAGUCUGGCAUCCAAGACAAUCAUGAAUCAAAAAACAGAUGGGAGAAAAUCAGGGGUUUGCUCAUCAGAGGGAGACAAGUGUAAAUACUAAAAACAUCAGCACAGAGUCAAGAGAUGUGGCCAAAAGAGAAGCAACUUUGCCAGGUAUUCUCCUAUCACAAAAUAAGGAGGU